AGAAUGCAAAGAGAGAGUACUUACUCCCCCAUGAUCCCCAUGAUCAUUUGUGGCUCACCCAUAUCCCUAUUUCCAGGAUAUAGUGGAGAACUUCCUCCCCCAUGUGCUUCAUGAUUUUAGCAACUUGGAAACACCCCAGUUAUGCUCCCACUUUCUGCAUGCUUGCCUGACAGCUCCAUUUGCCAGC